ensembl:lncRNA
CUUUAACACCUUGUAGAGUCAACAUGGGCCAGCAUCCCUGUGGAACGCUUUCAACUCCUUGUAGAGUCAACAUGGACCAGCAUCACCGUGGAACGCUUUCAACUCCUUGUAGAGUCAACAUGGGCCAGCAUCCCUGUGGAACGCUUUCAACUCCUUGUAGAGUUCAUGCCCUGAGAAUUUAGGCUGUUCUGAGGGCAAAAGGAGGUGCAACUCAAUAUUAGUAAGGUGUUCUUAAUGUUUUGUAUACUCAGUGUGUACUAUAAUGCAUUGUGCCUCUCAAGGGGGUGGAAACUGAGGCUAGACUGGGCCUGACUGAAGGCUGGCUGGCCUGAUGCAUUAUGACCUGAAGCUCACAGGCAUUUACAAUGCCCUCCACCAAUCCCCUGGCCUGUUACUGUUAGGUUGAAUGCCCUCCACCAAUCCCCUGGCCUGUUACUGUUAGGUUGAAUGCCCUCCACCAAUCCCCUGGACUGUUACUGUUAGGUUGAAUGCCCUCCACCAAUCCCCUGGCCUGUUACUGUUAGGUUGAAUGCCCUCCACCAAUCCCCUGGACUGUUACUGUUAGGUUGAAUGCCCUCCACCAAUCCCCUGGACUGUUACUGUUAGGUUGAAUGACUAACGAUGAACCCUACCUACAGUGAUUUGCUCUGACAGCAUUUUCUAUGUUAAUUUGACUAAUGAGUAACAUUUAAGUAUUUUUUUAGAGAUACUCAUGUCAACAAAUGAAUUUAGUUUAUUUUACAGGGAGAGGUGUAUGAACAGGGGAUGGACACUAUGAGGAAAUGGGAGGGGAGAGGAGGGGAGAGAUGAUGUCAAAUAGUUUUAUAUCCUGAAUGAUGAACCAUGUCUCUGACAUGUUGUAUUUUAUUGGAGCUGUGGAUGUGGCUAGCUCUGGUCCAGGGGGUUAGUGCAUUCCUCGCUGACGCCCUGGACCAGAGCUAGUUGUGGUUAACUGUGGUAGAGAGAAAUAUAAUUUUAAAAUGCUGUAAUUUCAAGUAAAUAAGAAAAGAAACCCAAGACCUUACUUUAAAGACAAGAUCAAAGCUGCUCUCCCUAAUGAGGAGUUGUACAUAUAAAUGUAUUUGAACAAAGUAUUAUUUGCAAUAUUAUAAUGUACAGAAUUGUAUUUAUAAUGUAUCUCAACAAACUGUUUUAAUUGGUACAAAGAUGUUCUAGAAUACAGAACGUUUACGAUCUAAACACUUGUUGUGUGUCGCCUCUUAUUUGCAUUCAAUCAAUUGAGUCAAUGCAGGUAUUUAUUGAGACUCGUGCAACUAUUUGUUCCUGAUUAUAGCCUCAUUGAAGUGUUUGAGUGUAAUUCAAGGUGUCGAGUAGGAAUAAUUAUACGGAAACAAAAAUAUAAACGCAACGUGUAAAGUGUUGGUCCCAUG